rnacentral:snoRNA from 1 species
UUCAUAUGAUGCAACCAGAUGACGAGUCUUAUUCGAGUUUUCGAUGCUGACACUAUCUUUUUUUAACCAUUCAUGCCAAACUGACU